GCCCAGUGAGAGCCGUCGCUGCGAGACUACUAAGGCCUGCUGGCCCCCAUUCUCGCGGGAAGGUCUGAGUCAGUGCGCGGUUCUGCACCGCCGCGAGGGCGGAGUUGCUCAUGCAACUGAGAGUAACAGAAACUUCUUCCGCGGCGCCCUUUACCGCGUGAAGGACGUCUUCGGACGUCCGAUGGUGGGCGACGUGGACAUGAGAAGGCUCUCAGCACGCGCGUAUAGCGAGAUCGGCGGUAUUACCCAAUUCAGACUAUCCUCGCGGGC
rnacentral:RNase_P_RNA from 1 species